UACGGAGGGAGCUAGCGUUGUUCGGCAUUACUGGGCGUAAAGCGCGCGUAGGCGGCUUUGUAAGUUAGAGGUGAAAGCCCGGAGCUCAACUCCGGAACUGCCUUUAAAACUGCAUCGCUUGAAUCCAGGAGAGGUGAGUGGAAUUCCGAGUGUAGAGGUGAAAUUCGUAGAUAUUCGGAAGAACACCAGUGGCGAAGGCGGCUCACUGGACUGGUAUUGACGCUGAGGUGCGAAAGCGUGGGGAGCAAACAGG
rnacentral:rRNA from 1 species